UUUUCCAUAAAAAUUAAAAUCAUACAGUUCAACCAAGUAACCAAUGCUGAUCUCAAUUUUUUUUUGUUUAAAUGCUCUUGAUUUUACAUACCCAGAAUUGAAAAUCAUGACUUUAACAAACCAAACAAGCACAUAUUGAAAAUUAUGAAAUGGGGGUUUUAAAUUUAAGACUCUGAUUCAUUAUUUUCAUCCUAAGCCUACAAUCGACACAAAAAACAUUGACCAGGAGUGGAAUCACAAUUAUUUACAGCUAAAAAAUAAACUACGGCGUAAAACCUAAACGAGAAAUCAAAGAUAGAAGAAAAGGAAACUGGGCUUCUUUAUUAGAAGUGAAAGAG